GCCAGUAGUCAUAUGCUUGUCUCAAAGAUUAAGCCAUGCAUGUCUAAGUACACACCUUAACACGGUGAAACCGCGAAUGGCUCAUUAAAUCAGCUAUGGUUCCUUAGAUUAUACUAUCCUACUUGGAUAACUGUAGUAAUUCUAGAGCUAAUACAUGCAAGAAAGCCCUGACUUACGGGAAGGGUGCAUUUAUUAGAUCAAAACCAACGACUUUGUCCGUUGGCUUGAUGACUCUGGAUAACUUUUCUGAUCGCACGGCCUAUGUGUCGGUGACGUAUCUUUCAAAUGUCUGCCCUAUCAACUUACGAUGGUAGGUGAUAUGCCUACCAUGGUUAUUACGGGUAACGGGGAAUCAGGGUUCGAUUCCGGAGAGGGAGCCUGAGAAAUAGCUACCACAUCCAAGGAAGGCAGCAGGCGCGCAAAUUACCCACUCCCAGCACGGGGAGGUAGUGACGAAAAAUAACGAUACGGGACUCAAUCGAGGCCCCGUAAUUGGAAUGANNNNNNNNNAAACCCUUUAACGAGGACCAAUUGGAGCGCAA
rnacentral:rRNA from 1 species